rnacentral:rRNA from 1 species
UUAUGAGGUCAUACAACCCUGAAUACACCAGAUCUCAUCUGAUCUGGAAGUUAAACGACAUUGGGACUGAUUAGUAUUUGGAUGGCAAACUACUUGAAAGCAGGAGAUACUAUAUCUU